GGUUUGAUUCUAACUUCCCUUUAAGAAUGCAUAUUUUUCUUGGAAGCUAAGCAGGGUCAGGCUUGGUUAGUACUUGGAUGGAUGACCACCUAGGAAGACCAGGUGCUGUAGGUG
rnacentral:rRNA from 1 species